rnacentral:rRNA from 1 species
UAGGGAAUUUUCGUCAAUGGGGGGAACCCUGAACGAGCAAUGCCGCGUGUGUGAAGAAGGUCUUCGGAUCGUAAAGCACUGUUGUAAGUGAAGAAUGCCAUAUAGAGGAAAUGCUAUGUGGGUGACGGUAGCUUACCAGAAAGCCACGGCUAACUACGUGCCAGCAGCCGCGGUAAUACGUAGGUGGCAAGCGUUAUCCGGAAUCAUUGGGCGUAAAGGGUGCGUAGGUGGCACGAUAAGUCUGAAGUAAAAGGCAACAGCUCAACUGUUGUAUGCUUUGGAAACUGUCGAGCUAGAGUGCAGAAGAGGGCGAUGGAAUUCCAUGUGUAGCGGUAAAAUGCGUAGAUAUAUGGAGGAACACCAGUGGCGAAGGCGGUCGCCUGGUCUGUAGCUGACACUGAUGCACGAAAGCGUGGGGGAGCAAAUAGGAUUAGAUACC